rnacentral:rRNA from 1 species
UACGAAGGGGACUAGCGUUGUUCGGAUUUACUGGGCGUAAAGCGCGCGUAGGCGGAUCGCUGAGUCAGGGGUGAAAUCCCAGGGCUCAACCCUGGAACUGCCUUUGAUACUGACGAUCUGGAGAUCGGGAGAGGUUGGUGGAAUUCCGAGUGUAGAGGUGAAAUUCGUAGAUAUUCGGAGGAACACCAGAAGCGAAGGCGGCCAACUGGCCCGAUACUGACGCUGAGGCGCGAAAGCGUGGGGAGCAAACAGG